GCAUAUCAAUAAGCGGAGGAAAAGAAAAUAACAAUGAUUUCCCUAGUAACGGCGAGUGAAGAGGAAAGAGCUCAAAGUUGGAACCUGUUUGGCCUAGCUAAACCGGAUUGUAGACUGUAGAAGUGUUUUCCAGGCAAGCCGAGUAAAUAAGUCCUUUGGAACAGGGCAUCAUAGAGGGUGAGAAUCCCGUCUUUGGCUUGAGCAUUUGCCUUUUGUGAUACGCUUUCAAAGAGUCAGGUUGUUUGGGAAUGCAGCCUAAAUUGGGUGGUAAAUCUCACCUAAAGCUAAAUAUUGGCGAGAAACCGAUAGCGAACAAGUACCGUGAGGGAAAGAUGAAAAGAACUUUGAAAAGAGAGUUAAACAGUAUGUGAAAUUGUUAAAAGGGAACCGUUUGGAGCCAGACUGGCUUGUCUGUAAUCAAUCUAGGCUUCGGCCUGGAUGCACUUGCAGGCUAUGCCUGCCAACGACAAUUUGACUUGAGGGAAAAAACUAAGGGAAAUGUGGCCCACUUGUGGGUGUUAUAGUCCCUUAGAAAAUACCUUGGGUUGGAUUGAGGAACGCAGCGAAUGCUUUUUGGCGAGUUUUCCAGGAAGGUUUUCUGAGGUACUACGGUAUCAAGGUUGAUCUUUUUGGUUAUACUUCUAUUCGCUUAGGUUGUUGGCUUAAUGACUCUAAAUGACCCGUCUUGA
rnacentral:rRNA from 1 species